UCCUUGGUACACUGUUUGAGUAUCCUGAAACGGGCUUUUCAAGAUCAGUGUUGCCAAAUUAGUUAAAAAUAGGAGUGCAUAGUGGCCCGUAUUGCAGGCAUUAACAUUCCUGAU
rfam:Pasteurella bettyae CCTG 2042 contig00019, whole genome shotgun sequence.